UUKGUMSCUGGCGGCGUGCCUAAUACAUGCAAGUCGAACGCGCAGCGAAAGGUGCUUGCACCUUUCAAGCGAGUGGCGAACGGGUGAGUAACACGUGGAUAACCUGCCUCAAGGCUGGGGAUAACAUUUGGAAACAGAUGCUAAUACCGAAUAAAACUUAGUAUCGCAUGAUACAAAGUUGAAAGGCGCUACGGCGUCACCUAGAGAUGGGUCCGCGGUGCAUUAGUUAGUUGGUGGGGUAAAGGCCUACCAAGACAAUGAUGCAUAGCCGAGUUGAGAGACUGAUCGGCCACAUUGGGACUGAGACACGGCCCAAACUCCUACGGGAGGCUGCAGUAGGGAAUCUUCCACAAUGGGCGAAAGCCUGAUGGAGCAACGCCGCGUGUGUGAUGAAGGCUUUAGGGUCGUAAAGCACUGUUGUAUGGGAAGAAAUGCUAGAGUAGGGAAUGAUUCUAGUUCGACGGUACCAUACCAGAAAGGGACGGCUAAAUACGUGCCAGCCGCCGCGGUAAUACA
rnacentral:rRNA from 1 species